CCGGGAUAGCUCAGUUGGUAGAGCAGAGGACUSAAAAUCCUCGUGUCC
rnacentral:tRNA from 1 species